rnacentral:RNase_P_RNA from 1 species
UAUGCAAUGAGUUUAAGCUCAAAACAUCCUGCAAAUAUACAUACACAAAAUGAAAGAAAGAAAUAAAAAAGAAAAAAGAAAAAAUGGAAAAAUAGGUCACAUAUUUGUAUGUUUCUUGUUUUUCCAUUUUUUUUUUUUUUUUUUUUUUUUUUUUUUUUUUUUCCUUUUUUUUUUUUUUUUUUUUUUUCCUUUUUCUUUCUCCUAAUUUGUGUAAUUUUUAUAAAAACAGGAAGGAAGGUCUGAGAUGCUGCAUUUAAAGAAUAGAAAAGAAAAGUCAAUGAAUUUUAAUUUUUUUUUUUUUUUUUUUUAUAAUUCUUAUGAAUUAAAAAGAAAGAAAAAAAAAGUUAUAACAUUCGUUGUUACUUUUUAUUUCACAUAUAUAUAUAUAUAUAUUCUUUAAUAAAAUUUUUGAGAGAAAAAGUAUUGAACAAAUAUUAAUUAGUUACCAGAAAUAUCAAUCAUAUAUUUAAAAUUUCGUAAGAAGUUUUGUGUAUGGUUUUGAAAAAGCUAAUAAGCAAGUAUACAUUGGUGAGUUCGAUUUUUGAGGUUUUUCUUUAUUCCUACAUCUCAUAUAUCAAUAUUUUUUUUAUAAUUAUAUAUUAUACGAGGUGAUAAUAAGAAAAAUAACUUAAUUCAGACUACUCCUAAAUUCAUUGCUGCAA